UAUUGAUUGAUUGAUUAGGAGAGGAAUGGGACUGGGUUACCUGUAGGUCAUGUCUCCAAGGUUGGCGCCCCUCGACCUAGAAUAUCUGAUCCUACAGCUGGGUCUAGUAGACCUGGCAUACCUACUGCCAGGAAACCGAAGGCCCCGCCCAUGAUGGCCAAAGUAAAGAGUAUGAUGAAGGGAUUAACAAGAUUUGGAAGAAGAUAAUUAAAAAAAAUUUUAAUAAAUAAUGGUGUUAGCUGGUUCUACUUUUGCAUGUAUACUCAUCUGUUGCUCUAAUAUUGAAAAAUGUCAUCUCUGAUGUUGCAUCCUUUGUAUAAAAAUUAUUUUUUGUUAUUAAACGAAAUGUAAAUUUUUUUCAUUUGUAAAAACUUCACACUUGAAACUUGUUCACUGUUCUUGAGUCAAAAAAAGUGCACGAUUAUUUUAAUGUACGGCACUUUUGUUCACUGUUCAAGUUAUAUAGUCAGUUAAAUUGUUAAGUACCGUAAAGAUAUCAUAUUGAUACUAUUUUAUCCUACGUAAACGAGCUUUAUUUUUAGAAAAUUUAUUAAACAUUUAUCAAGAUUCUUUCUGUAAACGUUAAAGCAUGCUAUUCCUACAUAAAUUCAUUAAAAAUACUUUAAAUUAUAUCAAUAUAUCUAAGAUAUA